rnacentral:tRNA from 1 species
CACUAAGAAGCUAUAAGGUCUAGCGGCAGCCUUUUAAGCUGCAGACAGGUGGCGCCCGAUCACCCUAAGUGA